GGGAUUAUAGUUAAUUAUAACAUUUAAUUUGCAUUUAAAAAGUAUCUAUAUAUGAUUAUUCUCA
rnacentral:tRNA from 1 species